AGGGUUUGAUCCUGGCUCAGAGCGAAUGUUGGCGGCGUGGAUGAGGCAUGCAAGUCGUACGUGAAAGUCUUCGGACGAGUAAAGUGGCGAAAGGGUGAGUAACACGUAAUCAACUUACCCUCGAGACGGGGAUAACCGCUGGAAACGGCGGCUAAUACCCGAUGCCGAUAUGUGAUCGCAUGGUCGUAUAUCGAAACGGUGGGGAUCCUACGGGACCUGCUGCUUGAGGAGGGGGUUGCGUCCUGUCAGCUUGUUGGUGAGGUAAAAGCUCACCAAGGCUAAGACGGGUAGCCGGUCUGAGAGGAUGAUCGGCCACACUGGGACUGAGACACUGCCCAGACUCCUACGGGAGGCUGCAGUCGAGAAUCUUCCGCAAUGGACGAAAGUCUGACGGAGCGACGCCGCGUGAAGGAUGAAGGCCCUCGGGUUGUAAACUUCUGUCAGAGUUCAAAGAAACGGCAUUCAAUAACAUUGGGUGCCUUGACAUCAGGCUCAAAGGAAGCACCGGCUAACUCUGUGCCAGCAGCCGCGGUAAUACAGAGGGUGCAAACAUUGCUCGGAAUUACUGGGCAUAAAGCGCGCGUGGGCGGCCAAGUAAGUGUUGUGUGAAAGCCCCCGGCUCAACCGGGGAACUGCACAGCAUACUGCUUGGCUAGAGCUUAGGAGGGGGAAAGUGGAACUCCUGGUGGAGCGGUGGAAUGCGUAGAUAUCAGGAGGAACGCCAGAGGUGAAGACGACUUUCUGGCCUAAUGCUGACGCUGAGGUGCGAAAGCUAGGGUAGCGAACGGGAUUAGAUACCCCGGUAGUCCUAGCCCUAAACGAUGGGUACUAGUUAGGGGGGGUUUCUAUGCCUUCCCUGGCGAAGCUAAUGUAUUAAGUACCCCGCCUGGGGAGUACGGUCGCAAGGCUAAAACUCAAAGGAAUUGACGGGGGCUCACACAAGCGGUGGAGCAUGUUGUUUAAUUCGAUUCAACGCGAAGAACCUUACCCAGGCCUGAAUGCAGGGAUUAAGCUGUGAAAGCAGUGGAUUGCCUUCGGGUGUAACCUGCACUGGUGUUGCAUGGCUGUCGUCAGCUCGUGUCGUGAGAUGUUGGGUUAAGUCCCGUAACGAGCGAAACCCCUAUUGUUAGUUGCCAGCGGGUAAAGCCGGGGACUCUAGCGAGACUGCCGCUGUCAAGGCGGAGGAAGGUGGGGACGACGUCAAGUCAUCAUGGCCCUUAUGCCUGGGGCUACAAACGUGCUACAAUGGUCGGGACAGAGGGACGCGAAGCCGCGAGGUCGAGCAAAUCCCACAAACCUGGCCUCAGUUCGGAUUGCAGGCUGAAAUUCGCCUGCAUGAAGUUGGAAUCGCUAGUAAUCGCGGAUCAGCUACGCCGCGGUGAAUAUGUUCCUGAGCC
rnacentral:rRNA from 1 species